rnacentral:rRNA from 1 species
GCGGCAGGCCUAAUACAUGCAAGUCGAGGGAGAAAUUAGGUGCUUGCACUUGAUGGGAACCGGCGAACGGGUGCGUAACACGUAUGCAACCUACCUAUAACUGGGGGAUAGCCCGAAGAAAUUCGGAUUAAUACCCUAUAACAUUUAGUCAUCGCAUGAUGAUUAUCUUAAAACUCCGGUGGUUAUAGAUGGGCAUGCGGCCUAUUAGUUUGUUGGUGAGGUAAUGGCUCACCAAGACUACGAUAGGUAGGGGGUCUGAGAGGAUGAUCCCCCACACUGGUACUGAGACACGGACCAGACUCCUACGGGAGGCAGCAGUAGGGAAUAUUGGACAAUGGACGAAAGUCUGAUCCAGCCAUGCCGCGUGCAGGAUGACGGCCCUAUGGGUUGUAAACUGCUUUUAUAUAGGAAGAAACCUUUCCACGUGUGGAAAGCUGACGGUACUAUACGAAUAAGGACCGGCUAACUCCGUGCCAGCAGCCGCGGUAAUACGGAGGGUCCAAGCGUUGUCCGGAUUUAUUGGGUUUAAAGGGUACGUAGGCGGAAUUUUAAGUCAGUGGUGAAAGCCUCCAGCUCAACUGGAGAAUUGCCAUUGAAACUGAAGUUCUUGAAUAUGGAUGAGGUGGUUGGAAUAUAACAUGUAGCGGUGAAAUGCUUAGAUAUGUUAUAGAACACCAAUUGCGAAGGCAGAUCACUAAACCAUUAUUGACGCUGAGGUACGAAAGCGUGGGGAGCGAACAGGAUUAGAUACCCUGGUAGUCCACGCCGUAAACGAUGUUCACUCGCUGUUGGCGAUAUACUGUCAGCGGCCAAGCGAAAGCAUUAAGUGAACCACCUGGGGG